UCUGACGUUAGCGGCGGACGGGUGAGUAACACGUGGAUAACCUACCUAUAAGACUGGGAUAACUUCGGGAAACCGGAGCUAAUACCGGAUAAUAUAUUGAACCGCAUGGUUCAAUAGUGAAAGACGGUUUUGCUGUCACUUAUAGAUGGAUCCGCGCCGCAUUAGCUAGUUGGUAAGGUAACGGCUUACCAAGGCAACGAUGCGUAGCCGACCUGAGAGGGUGAUCGGCCACACUGGAACUGAGACACGGUCCAGACUCCUACGGGAGGCAGCAGCAGGGAAUCUUCCGCAAUGGGCGAAAGCCUGACGGAGCAACGCCGCGUGAAUGAUGAAGGUCUUCGGAUCGUAAAACUCUGUUAUUAGGGAAGAACAAAUGUGUAAGUAACUAUGCACGUCUUGACGGUACCUAAUCAGAAAGCCACGGCUAACUACGUGCCAGCAGCCGCGGUAAUACGUAGGUGGCAAGCGUUAUCCGGAAUUAUUGGGCGUAAAGCGCGCGUAGGCGGUUUUUUAAGUCUGAUGUGAAAGCCCACGGCUCAACCGUGGAGGGUCAUUGGAAACUGGAAAACUUGAGUGCAGAAGAGGAAAGUGGAAUUCCAUGUGUAGCGGUGAAAUGCGCAGAGAUAUGGAGGAACACCAGUGGCGAAGGCGACUUUCUGGUCUGUAACUGACGCUGAUGUGCGAAAGCGUGGGGAUCAAACAGGAUCAGAUACCCUGGUAGUCCACGCCGUAAACGAUGAGUGCUAAGUGUUAGGGGGUUUCCGCCCCUUAGUGCUGCAGCUAACGCAUUAAGCACUCCGCCUGGGGAGUACGA
rnacentral:rRNA from 1 species